AUAAAGAUUCCCCUACCAGUACGGAGUGAAAUUGUGAUAACUCCUGGCACAACCAUUAAGACCCUCAUCUAUAGUGGACUGGAACAAAGCACAGUCCAUGUUACACUUAGGUUAAAAAGAAGAAUGAAAACCCCUCAAGCCAGAUUUUAUGACUUUUUAUAUCACACUGAAAAGUCCAAUGAACUACAGAUUUCAACCAUGGAGAUUUGUGCCCUACUAUGAAACGGUGACUGUAACACAGAUUGAUGAAAGAUUCUGCAGGACGACAAAGGUUAAAGAUGUAGACCCGGAGCUAGAAGCCAGCACUGACACUGAUGGAGUGGACUGCGAUGAGAAUGCCCACAUUAUUGUCCUAUCCUCUGAUAACCAAUGUAAUAUGAAAACCGACUACAGAAGAAAGGAACAAAUUAAAUCCAUUAAUCAAGCAUAUCUCUGCUAAACAGUUGUUCGAAACUGAUGAACAAAUGAAAAAUUUACUGUUUGUUUUCAUGCUUGCAAGGAUUGGGGAAGAAAAUUAAUUAUAAGGUACUGGCCACACUA
rnacentral:lncRNA from 1 species